UAGGGAAUCUUCCGCAAUGGACGCAAGUCUGACGGAGCAACGCCGCGUGAGUGAAGAAGGAUUUCGGUUCGUAAAACUCUGUUGUUAGAGAAGAACAGCGCAUAGAGUAACUGUUAUGCGUGUGACGGUAUCUAACCAGAAAGCCACGGCUAACUACGUGCCAGCAGCCGCGGUAAUACGUAGGUGGCAAGCGUUGUCCGGAAUUAUUGGGCGUAAAGCGAGCGCAGGCGGUCAAUUAAGUCUGAUGUGAAAGCCCCCGGCUCAACCGGGGAGGGUCAUUUGAAACUUUUUGACUUGAGUGCAGAAGAGUAGAGGUGAAUUCCAUGUGUAGCGGUAAAAUUCGUAGAUAUAUAGAGGAUCUCCAGUUGCGAAGAGGACUCGCUGGUCUGUAACUGUCGCUGCGGUUCGAAAGCGUUGGUAGCAAACAGG
rnacentral:rRNA from 1 species